GACGAACGCUGGCGGCGUGCCUAAUACAUGCAAGUAGAACGCUGAAGGAGGAGCUUGCUCUUCUGGAUGAGUUGCGAACGGGUGAGUAACGCGUAGGUAACCUGCCUGGUAGCGGGGGAUAACUAUUGGAAACGAUAGCUAAUACCGCAUAACAGUAGAUGUUGCAUGACAUUUGCUUAAAAGGUGCAAUUGCACCACUACCAGAUGGACCUGCGUUGUAUUAGCUAGGUGGUGGGGUAACGGCUCACCAAGGCGACGAUACAUAGCCGACCUGAGAGGGUGAUCGGCCACACUGGGACUGAGACACGGCCCAGACUCCUACGGGAGGCAGCAGGAGGGAAACUUCGGCAAUGGACGGAAGUCUGACCGAGCAACGCCGCGUGAGUGAAGAAGGUUCUCGGAUCGUAAAGCUCUGUUGUAAGGGAAGAACGAGCGUGAGAGUGGAAAGUUCACACUGUGACGUUAUCUUACCAGAAAGGGACGGCUAACUACGUG
rnacentral:rRNA from 1 species